GAUGAACGCUGCGGCGUGCCUAAUACAUGCAAGUCGAGCGAACAGACGAGGAGCUUGCUCCUCUGACGUUAGCGGCGGACGGGUGAGUAACACGUGGAUAACCUACCUAUAAGACUGGGAUAACUUCGGGAAACCGGAGCUAAUACCGGAUAAUAUAUUGAACCGCAUGGUUCAAUAGUGAAAGACGGUUUUGCUGUCACUUAUAGAUGGAUCCGCGCCGCAUUAGCUAGUUGGUAAGGUAACGGCUUACCAAGGCAACGAUGCGUAGCCAACCUGAGAGGGUGAUCGGCCACACUGGAACUGAGACACGGUCCAGACUCCUACGGGAGGCAGCAGUAGGGAAUCUUCCGCAAUGGGCGAAAGCCUGACGGAGCAACGCCGCGUGAGUGAUGAAGGUCUUCGGAUCGUAAAACUCUGUUAUUAGGGAAGAACAAAUGUGUAAGUAACUAUGCACGUCUUGACGGUACCUAAUCAGAAAGCCACGGCUAACUACGUG
rnacentral:rRNA from 1 species